rnacentral:misc_RNA from 1 species
AAAAAAAAAAAAAAAAAGAAAUACGAGGAACCAUCAAGAAAUCAAGGCAAGAACAUUAAAAAAAAAUUAUUGAAAUAAAGAGGAGAAAAAAAAUACCCAAAAUUGGAACCGAACGGCGAAUUUGAUGGAGAAGAAUACGCGGACUUUGUGUUGAAGAGAGAGAAGAAAAAGAAAAAGAAAUAAAUGAAGAACACACAGCUAGAUUCGCCUUAUUGGACACACAACACAACCAA